AUGGAAGUUGCUGCGCCCAAGCAACUCCUCCCCAUGGCGCCGCGGGACCCCAACUCCCCGUCCUCCUCCACCUCCUCCUCCUCGCCGUCUUCCGCCGCGUCGCCCUCCAGCCACCGGCCCAGCCCGCUGCCGCCGUCCCCGAGGCCCGUGCCCCGCACCAUCGACACCACCCCCUUCCCCACCACCUUCGUCCAGGCCGACACCGCCUCCUUCAAGCAGGUCGUCCAGAUGCUCACCGGCGCCGACAUGCCUCCGCCGUCCUCGCAGCCGCAGGCCCAGAGCCAGAGGCCCCCCGCGGCCGCCAACAGCAAGGCCGGCGCGCCGUGCCGGCCCAAGAAGCCGGCGUUCAAGCUCUACGAGCGCCGGAGCAGCAUGAAGAACCUCAAGAUGAUCGCGCCGCUCGCCAUGGCGGCCGCCGCGGGGGCGUCGCCGAGGAAGGCGCUGCCGGAGCUGCUGUCGCCCAGCGUGCUCGACUUCCCGUCGCUGGCGCUCAGCCCCGUCACGCCGCUGGUGUCCGACCCCUUCAACCGGUCCGCGUCCGCGUCCCCGGCGGAGCAGGAGGCGGCCGCGGAGCGCGCGGCCAUCGCGCGCAAGGGCUUCUUCCUGCACCCGUCGCCGCGGGGCGGCGCCGGCGAGCCCCCGCCGCGCCUGCUGCCGCUGUUCCCCGUCACCUCCCCCCGGAUGGCCUCCGCCACCGCGCCGUCGUCGGAGUGA
rnacentral:rRNA from 1 species